rnacentral:rRNA from 1 species
AGUGAACGCUGGCGGUAGGCCUAACACAUGCAAGUCGAACGGCAGCACAGUAAGAGCUUGCUCUUACGGGUGGCGAGUGGCGGACGGGUGAGGAAUACAUCGGAAUCUACUUUUUCGUGGGGGAUAACGUAGGGAAACUUACGCUAAUACCGCAUACGACCUACGGGUGAAAGCAGUGGAUCUUCGGACCUUGCGCGAUUGAAUGAGCCGAUGUCGGAUUAGCUAGUUGGCGGGGUAAAGGCCCACCAAGGCGACGAUCCGUAGCUGGUCUGAGAGGAUGAUCAGCCACACUGGAACUGAGACACGGUCCAGACUCCUACGGGAGGCAGCAGUGGGGAAUAUUGGGCAAUGGGCGCAAGCCUGAUCCAGCCAUACCGCGUGAGUGAAGAAGGCCUUCGGGUUGUAAAGCCCUUUUGUUGGGAAAGAAAAGCAGCAGGUUAAUACCCCGCUGUUCUGACGGUACCCAAAGAAUAAGCACCGGCUAACUUCGUG